GCUUCAGUGGCCAAGUGGUAAGGCGUCGGUCUCGUAAACCGAAGAUCAUGGGUUCGAACCACAUCUGAGACU
rnacentral:tRNA from 1 species